rnacentral:rRNA from 1 species
UACAGAGGGUGCGAGCGUUAAUCGGAAUUACUGGGCGUAAAGCGCACGUAGGCGGCUUGGUAUGUCGGGUGUGAAAUCCCCGGGCUCAACCUGGGAACUGCAUCCGAAACUGCCUUGCUCGAGUAUGGGAGAGGGAAGUGGAAUUUCCGGUGUAGCGGUGAAAUGCGUAGAUAUCGGAAGGAACAUCAGUGGCGAAGGCGACUUCCUGGACCAACACUGACGCUGAGGCGCGAAAGCUAGGGGAGCAAACGGG